rnacentral:rRNA from 1 species
GACGAACGCUGGCGGCGUGCUUAACACAUGCAAGUCGAACGGAAAGGCCUCUUUCGGGGGGUACUCGAGUGGCGAACGGGUGAGUAACACGUGAGUAACCUGCCCUUUACUUUGGGAUAACUUCAGGAAACUGGGGCUAAUACCGGAUAGGAGCUCCUGCUGCAUGGUGGGGGUUGGAAAGUUUCGGCGGUUGGGGAUGGACUCGCGGCUUAUCAGCUUGUUGGUGGGGUAGUGGCUUACCAAGGCUUUGACGGGUAGCCGGCCUGAGAGGGUGACCGGCCACAUUGGGACUGAGAUACGGCCCAGACUCCUAAGGGAGGCAGCAGUGGGGAAUAUUGCACAAUGGGUGGAAGCCUGAUGCAGCAACGCCGUGUGCGGGAUGACGGCCUUCGGGUUGUAAACCGCUUUCGCUCAUGACGAAGCUUUGUGUGACGGUAGUGGGUAAAGAAGCACCGGCUAACUACGUG